UACGUAUGGUGCAAGCGUUAUCCGGAUUUACUGGGUGUAAAGGGAGUGUAGACGGAGUGGCAAGUCUGAUGUGAAAACCCGGGGCUCAACCCCGGGACUGCAUUGGAAACUGUCAAUCUGGAGUACCGGAGAGGUAAGCGGAAUUCCUAGUGUAGCGGUGAAAUGCGUAGAUAUUAGGAGGAACACCAGUGGCGAAGGCGGCUUACUGGACGGUAACUGACGUUGAGGCUCGAAAGCGUGGGGAGCAAACAGG
rnacentral:rRNA from 1 species